rnacentral:rRNA from 1 species
UACGAAGGGGGCUAGCGUUGCUCGGAAUCACUGGGCGUAAAGCGCACGUAGGCGGUCUGUCGCGUCGGCUGUGAAAACCCGGAGCUCAACUCCGGGCCUGCAGUCGAUACGGGCAGACUAGAGUGCGGUAGGGGAGACUGGAAUUCCUGGUGUAGCGGUGAAAUGCGCAGACUAGUCAGGAGGAACACCAGAGGCGAAGGCGGCAUACUG